AAGUCCAAAAUUAAGGCAUUGGCAGGACCAUGCUCCCUCCAAAGGCUGUAAGGGAAAAUCCCACCGUGUAGCUUCUGGCUUCUGGUGGCUCAAGGUGUCCUUAGCUUAUGUUCCUUUUACUCUAGUCUCUGCUUCCAUCAUCACAUGGUUUUCUCCCUGUGUCUCCGUACGUCCUUUUCUGUCUCUUAGGAGGACGCUUGUCAUUGGAUUUAGGGCCCGCCCUAAUCCUGUGUGAUCUCAUCUUAAUAUUUACCCUAAUUACAUCUGCAAUAGUGCAUUUACACUAUUUCUAAAUAAGGUCAUAUUCCAGGUGGUCAUUGAUGAGGGAGCAGAAGACUAGCUGGGAGCGUAGCAGAAACCGACAUCCUGCAAACCACACCCCCCACUCUGGGGUGGAAGCUGUGACCUUCCUUAGGCACUCCUGGCUGUCCCUAAACCUGAGGAAAGGAAAGACGAAUGGUUAACUAAUAGAGAUCACAGUCCUGCAAGAUAAGUCUCCCUCAAGUUACAAAUGUCUUGGUGAUUUACAAGAAAAAAGCAUUCUUAUCAAAUAAUCUAACUCCCCAAAAGAAAUGUAGAUAAAAUUAAAUCUCCUUACAACCUGCAGGCCGUGGACAAAUACUUCAGGGGGCAGAGUACAGCAUUCCUCAAGGAACUUGAAACUGCCUUAAAGUUAAUGCUUUGCUAGAAGAGAAAAGCAACCUUAGCUUGAUGUCAGCCAGACCUCCAGGAUCCUCUGGUUCCGGGCUAACCCCCCAGGACAUCGGUAGACUCUACUCAAUAUCCUCAUGCAGAACCUUGAAAUCUAUACUGACUUUGGCUGCAAGUCAUAGAAAACCCAACUAAAAGCAGCUUGAAGCAAAGAAGGCAUUUAUAUCUUACAUAAUCAGAAGACUGGAGAACAAGUUCCCCCAACUUGCUAAUGACAUAAUCAAGGGCCCAGAUCCUUUCCAUUUUUUCCACUUGGCCAUCCUCUAGGGUGCUGGUUUGUCCUUAGUUUGUCUCCUCACAAUGCAAAAGAUUUCAUCAGCUUCCAGCAUGACAUCUGUAGGCAAGAAUUUCCAAAAAUCCUUUUUUAUUCCCCACCCCAAAUCCUCUUUUUAAAUUAAGGUGAAAUUCAUACAUGAAAUUAACCUUCUUUAAAAUGAAUAAUUCGGGGACAUUUGGUAUAUUCACAGUGUUGUGUAACCAUCACCUCUCUCUAGUUCCAAAAUAUGUUCAUCUCUCCCAAAGGAGACCCCCAUUCCCACUAAACAAUCAUUCCCUAUUCCUCCUUCCCUCAUCCCUGGGCAACCAUUCAUCUACCUUCUGUCUCUAAGG